rnacentral:rRNA from 1 species
UGGCGGACGGGUGAGUAAUGUCUGGGAAACUGCCCGAGGGAGGGGGAUAACUACGGGAAACGGUAGCUAAUACCGCAUAACGUCGCAAGACCAAAAGAGGGGGACCUUCGGGCCUCUUGCCAUCAGAUGAACCCAUAUGGGAUUAGCUUGUAGGUAAGGUAACGGCUUACCUAGGCGACGAUCCCUAGCUGGUCUGAGAGGAUGAUCAGCCACACUGGGACUGAGACACGGCCCAG